AACGAACGCUGGCGGCGUGCCUAACACAUGCAAGUCGUGCGAGAAGUCCUUCGGGAGCGAGUAAAGCGGCGCACGGGUGAGUAACACGUAGGUAACCUGCCCCCCAGUCUGGAACAACUAGAGGAAACUCUAGCUAAUGCCGGAUGAGACCACGAUCCCUUCGGGGGUUGCGGCCAAAGAUGGCCUCUACUUGUAAGCUAUCGCUGAGGGAUGGGCCUGCGGGCCAUUAGCUUGUUGGUGAGGUAACGGCUCACCAAGGCUGUGAUGGCUAGCUGGUCUGAGAGGAUGACCAGCCACACUGGGACUGAGACACGGCCCAGACUCCUACGGGAGGCAGCAGUGGGGAAUAUUGCGCAAUGGGCGAAAGCCUGACGCAGCGACGCCGCGUGGGUGAUGAAGGCCUUCGGGUCGUAAAGCCCUGUCGCAGGGGAAGAAUAAGCAUCGGUAUAAUACGCCGGUGCCCUGACGGUACCCUGCAAGAAAGCACCGGCUAACUCCGUG
rnacentral:rRNA from 1 species